GUAGGGUCUCACUAGCCCAGGCUGACCUGAGCUUCACUGUAGUCUCGGGCUGGCCUCGGAUUUACGGUGGUCCUCCUGCCUCUGCCUCCCAAGUGCUGGCAUUAAAGAUGUGUGACACCCGGCAAGCCUUAACUUUUCAGGUGAAGACACUGUGGCAACGCAUGAACUUAGUAAGAAUUUCGUCAUGGAUCGUUUAAUCCCAGCACUCGAGGCAAAGGAUCCUGACCCAGCAUGUUGGAAGUCCCACUGAGAUUGUGUAACUUGAGGCACGGGACCCCUCGUUCCAGGCCAGUCGAGAAAACUCAGGCUGUCGUAGACCUCCGUGACACUCCUCUUAACUCACCAGUCCACCUGGGGGGACUGCCAACAGCUCCUCCAGAUUUUGUUUACCACAGAGGAAAGGGACCGUAUUCGGAGAGAGUGCCAGAAACUGGUCCCAGGGCAGGUGGACGUCUGACCACUGAUGAAGCCCACAGUAAUGCUGCUUUUCCGACCACUUGCUGGGACCCGAGAAAAUGGGAUCCCAACUCACCUAAAAGUCCCUUCUGUCUCUCCAGCAGAUUCAUCCUCUGGUCCAGGAAACCCAUAAGAGACUUGACUUAGACCUGCCACCAUCUUUAUUUGAGCCCGGAGAACUGGUCUGGGUGAAGAGGCACAGUCCUGGCAACCUUGAGCUUCCUUGGCAAGGACCCUUCACUGUAGUCUUGACAAUUCCCACUGUGGUAAACAUAGCUGGGAAGAGGUCAUAGAUACACCACACCCAACUUAAUAGAGUUGUUGCUGGGGAUCCAGAUGACCACUGGACCAUCCACAAACCCAAGGCCCACCAAGAUCCUCUUAAGAUAAGACUGUUCAGUGUACUGUGUGAAUGAAAUACUGUCUUUUGUCUCCUUUUGCUUUUACUAUGCUUAUGUUGAUGUUCCUGUGUUUAGUUUCCUUGGUUUUACCUGAUAACUAAAAUAUUAGUCCUCAUCAACCCCACAAUUUCACUUGGGAGCUAAGAGACACUACCACUGGGAGAAUUAUCCAACAGUUGCUGACUACUGGUCACAUCUGCGACCUUCUUGGAAAAUACUGGAACGUACAUGUGGUUAGUAAGAGGGGAGGAGGAACAGGAGUCCCUGGUUAUGGCUGUGGUGGCCUAGCAGUUGAGGAAGGCAUACAGGCUUCUCAACUUUAUAUCUGCCCAGCAAAUGGGGGACUAAGCUGCCAGCUAGAUGGCCAAUGCAUUUUGCUGCAUGGGGUUGUGAGACUGAGGCAUACUGGACAUAUUGAAUGAAUACCAUAUAUUUAAUGUUCCUAGUUUACAUUAGUUUAGAUGGAAUAUAAUCAAUGUAUCUAUAAGAAACGUAAAUGCACCUAGGACUUCCAGUGAAGCAAUAAUGUUCCAUUCCCCUCCUCUGAAACUGCAGUGGGGGAGAUUCCUCUGAUGGUAAGAAUUCUAAGCCUGACCCCUUUGGACAGUAUUUUAACUACCUUAUCUUAGGAGACAGCUUCCUCAACUAAAUCUUAUUUGACAGAACCCUACACUUAUGGAUGUAAAUCUCUCCCCUCUUUUAAGUAUGGCAAAAUUCAGACAAAGGACUGUAAAAGGUAUAUAAACUCAGCACAGUCUGAGUUCAGGGCCUCUGUCAGGAUUGUGGCAUUAGCCAGCAGAGGUCCACACAUGAGUAAAGGCUCUCUCCCUCCCUCUAAAGAGGAUUUUGCCUGAUUAUUCUCAUUAACUGAUUAUAACAGACACAUCAUGACCCCUUUAUUACAGUUGAGAGACCUAGGUCCUCAAAUAAACGUGGAGAGGGUGCCUGUGAUCCUUUAAAGAUUUUUCUAAAAUCCCGGCAGCCUACAACAGUAGGGCCUGGGAGGCCGGAUGUGGGGCUUUAGACUGUACGUGACAGGAGGAGAUCCAGGUACAGAAGUCAACAUAUAAGAAAUGAGAGACAUUAAGACCCCUAUCUCCAUUGGACCUAAUGCUCCUCUCUUGAGAAUUCUCCCAAUCAUCCAAAUACUCACCAAAAACCAGGGGAACCUCCUGUUUCCACCAUUCUGCCUAUUUGGAGCCACCGAACUCUGAGAGCCCCUACCUAAAGUUUUUCACAACCUUGGAUAUGCUCUUUAGGGUAGUUAAUAGUAUUAAUCCUAUUAUCACCCAGGACUGCUGGCUAUGUUUAGACCCUGAGCCACCAUAUUAUAUGAUAUUGGAAUAAACACUUUUGGAGAAACUAUGUCCAUUGUCUGCAACCUGACCCAACCACAGUUUGAAUAGACAGGC